rnacentral:rRNA from 1 species
CAUACGGGUGGCAGCAGUGGGGAAUAUUGGACAAUGGGCGAAAGCCUGAUCCAGCCAUGCCGCGUGUGUGAAGAAGGCCUUCGGGUUGUAAAGCACUUUCAGUGGGGAAGAAAGCCUUGGGGCUAAUACCCUCGAGGAGGGACAUCACCCACAGAAGAAGCACCGGCUAACUCCGUGCCAGCAGCCGCGGUAAUACGGAGGGUGCGAGCGUUAAUCGGAAUUACUGGGCGUAAAGCGCGCGUAGGCGGUCUGAUAAGCCGGUUGUGAAAGCCCCGGGCUCAACCUGGGAACGGCAUCCGGAACUGUCAGGCUAGAGUGCAGGAGAGGAAGGUAGAAUUCCCGGUGUAGCAGUGAAAUGCGUAGAGAUCGGGAGGAAUACCAGUGGCGAAGGCGGCCUUCUGGACUGACACUGACGCUGAGGUGCGAAAGCGUGGGUAGCAAACAGGAUUAGAUACCCUGGUAGUC